rnacentral:lncRNA from 1 species
GGCCUUUCUAGGAGCCAGCUUGCUUUCAUCUUACUGUUUUGAUUGUGCCUCACAAGGGACAACACUCCGAUUGUCUAGGAGGAGGAAGGUCAGGGACAGAAAAGUAAAAGCCAGGAGCAGCCUGUCCUGUCUGCCUGGGCUGCUGGGGAAUGAUUGUCAGUGAAUCGAGUUGUCUGUGGAGCCCCUGAGCAAAUUCUCCCAGUGGCAGCAGAUCUCGCAAAAGGGGAGGAAGGCCUUCACCGCUGAACCCGAGCUUUGCCAUUUCGAAGUGCUGAGUCACCUCGUCCUCUCAGGGUCAGACACUUUCACGCAGGAAACGUCCUGCAGAGCACCGCAGCGGGAGCACCGAGCUGACCUGGAAGGAGAGAACAAGGGCCUUCCUGAGGCAGGACAAGGACCCAGAACUACCCAGAAUGCAGCAGGGCGGCCCCGCACGACUGAGCUCUGAUCCUAACCUGCAAAGUGAAGUUUCAAUUUCCACUUCCUGAGAAGAUGUGGAAACUCAGAGAGGAUGCCACUGUUUUGAACUAUUUUGAAGGCACAGCCACCAGAGCUUUAGGGACAGGGUAUUUUAUCACAGCAACAGAAAUGAAACCAAAACAACUCCACAAUAAAAUUCUUGAGUUUCUUGGGGCCAAGAAGAUGACACGAUAAGAUAAAGACACUGGCCAAGCAUGACCUCCAGAGUUUGGCCCUUGCAUAAAGGAGAAAAUUAAUUCCUUCAGUUGUUCUCUGACCUCCACAUGCGUCCUGUAACAUGGGUGUAUGCAUACACAUAAACACACAUCCACACGUUGUUAAAUAAAUAAAAAAAAUAUGUUAACA